GACGAGGGAUCCUAGCGUUGUUCGGAAUCAUUGGGCGUAAAGCGGGUGCAUGUGGCUCUGUAAGUCAGGUGUGAAAGCCCAGGGCUCAACCCUGGAAGUGCAUUUGAUACUGCGGAGCUUGAGUGCUAGAGAGGUAAGUAGAAUUCCAGGUGUAGUGGUGAAAUACGUAGAUAUCUGGAGGAAUACCGGAGGCGAAGGCGGCUUACUGGCUAGACACUGACACUCAGACCCGAAAGCGUGGGGAUCAAACAGG
rnacentral:rRNA from 1 species